UGAGGAAUAUUGGACAAUGGGUGAGAGCCCGAUCCAGCAAUGCCGCGUGCAGGAUGAAGGCCUUCGGGUUGUAAACUGCUUUUGUACGGAACGAAACGGCUCUGGUUAAUACCUGGGGCUAAUGACGGUACCGUAAGAAUAAGCACCGGCUAACUACGUGCCAGCAGCCGCGGUAAUACGUAGGGUGCGAGCGUUAAUCGGAAUUACUGGGCGUAAAGCGUGCGCAGGCGGUGAUGUAAGACAGAUGUGAAAUCCCCGGGCUCAACCUGGGACCUGCAUUUGUGACUGCAUCGCUGGAGUGCGGCAGAGGGGGAUGGAAUUCAGCGUGUAGCAGUGAAAUGCGUAGAUAUGCGAAGGAAAACCGAUGGCGAAGGCAAUCCCCUGGGCCUGCACUGACGCUCAUGCACGAAAGCGUGGGGAGCAAACA
rnacentral:rRNA from 1 species